AACGAACGCUGGCGGCAGGCUUAACACAUGCAAGUCGAGCGCAUCCUUCGGGGUGAGCGGCAGACGGGUGAGUAACGCGUGGGAACGUACCCUUAUCUUCGGAAUAGCUCCGGGAAACUGGAAUUAAUACCGCAUACGCCCCAUGGGGGAAAGCGGGGGACCUUCGGGCCUCGCGCUAUCAGAUGAGCCUGCGUAGGAUUAGCUAGUUGGUGAGGUAAAGGCUCACCAAGGCGACGAUCCUUAGCUGGUCUGAGAGGAUGAUCAGCCACACUGGGACUGAGACACGGCCCAGACUCCUACGGGAGGCAGCAGUGGGGAAUAUUGCGCAAUGGGGGCAACCCUGACGCAGCCAUGCCGCGUGUGUGAAGAAGGCCUUCGGGUUGUAAAGCACUUUAAGUGGGGAGAAAGGCCCGUUGGUUAAUAGCCAACGGGAUUGAUGUUACCCACAGAAUAAGCACCGGCUAACUCCGUGCCAGCAGCCGCCGUAAAAC
rnacentral:rRNA from 1 species